UCCAUGGGGUCACAAAGAGUUGGACACGACUGAACAGCUGAAUAGCAACAAGAUAUUUCUUCACAAUAACCCUUUGAAAUUGGCAUUAUUAUUCCAGGAUUUCUAAUUGCUUCAAUCCUUGCAUCUCUUCAUUGAACAGACUCCCAAUAACUGGACGUUUGAGGUCAGCCUCUUGCAGUCAGGGAAGAGCUUGGGUCAAACCAAGACCAAACUUCCCUGCCUGGAUAAGCAAAGAUUACCACUAGACUAUUGCCGGGAGCCGCACACGAGAUUCCACCCAUGUCAAGGUCAUGAGGAGAAGACCGGACAGGCAAGGCAGAUCAGGACUUCAGGGAUUUCGAAAAGC